UUUUUCAAAGAUAAUAAUUCAUUGCAUGAGGAGAAAAAGGCAUGAGACCCAUUACAUAUAUAGGAUAAAUCAACUACAACAAGAGCAGCAGAUUCAAGCUCUACCUAAACCCAAUAUAACAUUAAGAUUUCAUAAACCAAGCCCCAACCCAACCUCCAACCACAUACAUCUCUAAGCCACACUGAAGCAGGCAAUAAGUAUGUUGGAAUCAAACCAAACAAACACGCAAAGAUUUCAAAAAUAGUAUCUCCUCGAGAAAGAAACUCAUAGGACCGAAAAACAAUAUGAAUAUCACCCUGAGAAAGAAACAAACACAGAGCCAUGAAGAGGAUUAGAUCUGGAGCCAGGGGAACACCAAGGGCAGCGCUCUUUUGCACCGAUUGUUGAGAGAUUGGAUACCCAAGUGAAUGACAUCGGUAACGCCUCCAAGAGUCCCAGAUUCACGCCAACCCAUGCACUUGUACACAGCCACAGAGGGAAAUCCUACCAAACCCUCAUCGUUAUCCUCAAACUUGGACCGAAAAACAAUAUGAAUAUCACCCUGAGAAAGAAACAAACACAGAGCCAUGAAGAGGAUUAGAUCUGGAGCCAGGGGAACACCAAGGGCAGCGCUCUUUUGCACCGAUUGUUGAGAGAUUGGAUACCCAAGUGAAUGACAUCGGUAACGCCUCCAAGAGUCCCAGAUUCACGCCAACCCAUGCACUUGUACACAGCCACAGAGGGAAAUCCUACCAAACCCUCAUCGUUAUCCUCAAACUUGGAAGUCACGCCGAAUGAGGAAGGAGGGUUGUCUCGCCCUCGGAGGGGCAAGAGAUGACCGGCUUAACUCGGCAGUAAUUGAAAUAAUAGUUUUGAG
rnacentral:misc_RNA from 1 species